rnacentral:lncRNA from 1 species
UGCGCAUAUAUUACACCAUGAAGUUUAAAUAAAAAACAUAGUCAUCAUUGUAAUACAACAUUAACAUGUUACAACAUUAUACUUAAGAAUUGAAUGCUUCUUUCUGUAAAUUCAUUGGGGUGUAAAAGCGUUGACCGAAGUACAUUUUGUAUGAAGCGCGGAAGCGCUUCAUUCUAAAAAUGUGCGCACGGUCAACGCUUUUACAACCCUAUGAAGUUACAAAAGAAGCAUUCAAUACUUAUAAUUACAUUUUUUAGCUAUGAUCAAGAAAACACGAAUUUUAUAUUGUUUUUAUUUAAUUCACCUGUGCACUUUAUUGUGGGACCACGUGUUAUCAUGAAUGAAAAGUUUUAUUGAGUGAUGCAAUUGCUUACGGAAUAACACGUGAAGUGCAGUUAGCCAAUCAAAAUAAAAGUAUUAUAAUGAAACAUACAUCUAAUGUAAUUAUU